rnacentral:tRNA from 1 species
GAAAUAAUAUGGAUGGGAACAUCGAGUAAUUGGGAUUUACUGGAAGGAUAUAUGGGGGAUUUACAACUGAUCUACUUAGUUUUUAUUUUU